rnacentral:rRNA from 1 species
CUACGUGCCAGCAGCCGCGGUAAUACGUAUGUCGCAAGCGUUAUCCGGAAUUAUUGGGCUUAAAGGGCAUCUAGGCGGUAUAACAAGUUGAAGGUGAAAAGCUGUAGCUCAACUAUAGUCUUGCCUACAAAACUGUAAUACUAGAGUACUGGAAAGGUGGGUGGAACUACACGAGUAGAGGUGAAAUUCGUAGAUAUGUGUAGGAAUGCCGAUGAUGAAGAUAACUCACUGGACAGAAACUGACGCUGAAGUGCGAAAGCUAGGGGAGCAAACAGGAUUAGAUACCCUGGUAGUCCACGCCGUAAACGAUGAGUGCUAGGUGUUGGGUCCUUUCCGGGACUCAGUGCCGCAGCUAACGCAUUAAGCACUCCGCCUGGGGAGUACGACCGCAAGGUUGAAACUCAAAGGAAUUGACGGGGGCCCGCACAAGCGGUGGAGCAUGUGGUUUAAUUCGAAGCAACGCGAAGAACCUUACCAGGUCUUGACAUCCCUCUGACCGCUCUAGAGAUAGAGUUUUC